UCGCCGGAGGAGCCGCCGUUCUUGGAACCCGUCAGGGACUGGCAGAUGGCGGUGAGCUUGGCGUCCACGGAGGCGUGGAGCGGGCCGGCGAGGUGCGCGCCGUCGCGGCGGAGGGCCGGGAAGUUGAGGCGCGCCAUGUCGCCGCGGAGGCGGAAGGCGGCCUUGUCGUAGGCGAGCGCCGCGUCCUCGGCGGUGUCGAAGGUGCCGAGCCACAGCCGGGUGCGGUUCUUGGGGAGGCGGAUCUCUGCCACCCACUUGCCCCAGUGGCGCUGGCGGACGCCGCGGUACAGCUUCGACUGCGCCGGCGCCAGCGGCGGCGAUCCGGACUGCUUCAUCGGCUGCGCCCG
rnacentral:lncRNA from 1 species